GACGGUGCAUUAUUUAGGAUCUCCGAUAUCUGGAAAAAGAUUAAAAUCCCAGGAUUUCAAUUUCCUAUUGAACAUGGUACAGGCUGAGUUGGAUGGAUGGAAGCGGACACCUUUUGUCUCAAGCAGGGAGACUUGCACUUCUUCAGUCUAUUUUGAGUUCCCUUCCAGUCUGUUCUUCCAAAGGUAGUCGACUCUAUCUGAAGAAUUCUUAAAGCAUUCCUGUGGGCACAGAGAUCGGUAGAAGAGUUAUCCAUCUCUUUUCUUGGCAAGCGGUCUGCAAGCCAAAGAAAUUUGAGGGUUUUGGCAACGAAAGAUUUGGGAGUUCAUCGCAAGGCUAUGAAGACCCGUCGGGCUGUUAACUUGCUUCUCAAUCCAAGAUUCUUAUGGGCUUCCAGGGCUCUUGGGAUGGCUUCAAUAGAAGAUCCUCGACAAUCUGGAAGGAAAUUAUUGCUUAAUCCAACCAGUUGCAGUUUGCUUUCUGGUCGCAGGUGGAUGAUGGUUCUUCUGUGGAUGGACUGCAGGAUGCUUGGAUAUCAAUGUCCCCCU
rnacentral:lncRNA from 1 species